rnacentral:snRNA from 1 species
CUGCUUUGGCAGCACAUAUACUAAAACUGGAACGAUACAGAGAAUAUAAGCAUGGCACCUGCAUAUGGAUGGCACGCAAAUUCCUGUAGUGUUCCAUUAAAAC